UGCUGGAAUGAAUGGUUGGACGAGAUAUAAACUGUUUCAAUUUAAUUUAAUGUAGAACUUUAUUUUUUAAUGAAAAAGUUAAAAUUUUUUUAAAAGACGAGAAGACCCUAUAAAUCUUUAUAGUUAAUUUAUUUUUGUUUUUAAGAUGAUUUUUGUAUUAAUAAUUUUGACUAUUUUAUUGGGGUGAUAUUAAAAUUUCAAGAACUUUUAAUUUUUAAAAACAUUUCUUUAUGAAUAAUUGAUCCAUUAUUAGUGAUUAUAAGAUUAAGUUACUUUAGGGAUAACAGCGUAAUUUUUUUGGAGAGUUCAUAUCGAUAGAAAAGAUUGCGACCUCGAUGUUGGAUUAAGAUAUAAUUUUGGGUGCAGCAAUUCAAAUUUUAAGUCUGUUCGACUUUUAAAUUCUUACAUGAUCUGAGUUCAAACCGGCGUGAGCCAGGUUGGUUUCUAUCUUUAAAAUUUUAAAAUGUCUUAGUACGAAAGGAUUGGAUAUUUAAAUUAAUUAUUUUUUAUAAUGAAUAUUAUUAAUUUACUGUUUU
rnacentral:rRNA from 1 species